GCCCCUCCAUUUGAGCCUCUGGUUAGGCGGCAACACUCCUGACCGCUGACCCUCAAAAAAUAGGAUGGAUUUUUCAAGAGCAUCAGUAUAAUCUUGAGUAGUGAAGGCUGUGCAAAGCAGGCUAAGUGAACAAAGAGUUAUUAGAAGAAUCUGUAUCAAUAAUGAAAAUUUAGCAGCAUCAGCCAUUCCGUCUUAUAGUAUCCUAAUAGACUUCGAAUUGUAGUUGAGAGCUCG
rnacentral:misc_RNA from 1 species